GCCAGACUCCUACGGGAGGCAGCAGUGGGGAAUAUUGGGCAAUGGGCGCAAGCCUGACCCAGCAACGCCGCGUGAAGGAAGAAGGCCUUCGGGUUGUAAACUUCUUUUAUCAGGGACGAAGCAAGUGACGGUACCUGAUGAAUAAGCCACGGCUAACUACGUGCCAGCAGCCGCGGUAAUACGUAGGUGGCAAGCGUUAUCCGGAUUUACUGGGUGUAAAGGGCGUGUAGGCGGGAGUGCAAGUCAGAUGUGAAAACUAUGGGCUCAACCCAUAGCCUGCAUUUGAAACUGUACAUCUUGAGUGCUGGAGAGGCAAUCGGAAUUCUGUGUGUAGCGGUGAAAUGCGUAGAUAUACGGAGGAACACCAGUGGCGAAGGCGGAUUGCUGGACAGUAACUGACGCUGAGGCGCGAAGGCCAGGGGAGCGAAAGGGAUUAGAUACCCUCGUA
rnacentral:rRNA from 1 species